rnacentral:rRNA from 1 species
CAUCGGAACGUACCCAGAGGUGGGGGAUAACGCAGCGAAAGCUGUGCUAAUACCGCAUGUGAUCUGAGGAUGAAAGCGGGGGACUAGGCAGCGAUGCUUGGCCUCGCGCCUUUGGAGCGGCCGAUGUCGGAUUAGCUAGUUGGUGGGGUAAAGGCCUACCAAGGCGACGAUCCGUAGCUGGUCUGAGAGGACGGCCAGCCACACUGGGACUGAGACACGGCCCAGACUCCUACGGGAGGCAGCAGUGGGGAAUUUUGGACAAUGGGCGCAAGCCUGAUCCAGCAAUGCCGCGUGCGGGAAGAAGGCCUUCGGGUUGUAAACCGCUUUUGGCAGGAACGAAAAGCUCUGGGCGAAUACCCUGGGGUGAUGACGGUACCUGCAGAAUAAGCACCGGCUAACUACGUGCCAGCAGCCGCGGUAAUACGUAGGGUGCGAGCGUUAAUCGGAAUUACUGGGCGUAAAGCGUGCGCAGGCGGUUGUGUAAGACAGGCGUGAAAUCCCCGGGCUUAACCUGGGAAUGGCGCUUGUGACUGCACGGCUGGAGUGCGGCAG